rnacentral:rRNA from 1 species
GAUUAACGCUGGCGGCGUGCAUAACACAUGCAAGUCGAACGAAGUGGCGGACGGGUGAGUAACGCGUGAGUAACCUGCCUUAGAGAUGGGGAUAGCUUCUGGAAACGGAGUAUAAUACCCAAUGCUCUAAGAUGGACUUGCGUCUGAUUAGCUAGUUGGUGAGAUAAUGGCUCACCAAGGCAACGAUCAGUAGCCGGCUUGAGAGAGUGGACGGACCCAUUGGGAGUGGGACACGGCCCAAACUCUGCGAGAGGCAGCAGUGGGGAAUUUUGCACAAUGGGGGAAACCCUGAGGCAUCGAGGCCGCGUGAUUUAGAAGGCCGUCAGGUAGUAAAAAUCUUUUGUAUAGGAGGCAGUACUAUACGAAUAAGGACCGGCUAAUUACGUGCCAGCAGCCGCGGUAAUUC